GACGAACGCUGGCGGCGUGCUUAACACAUGCAAGUCGAACGGAAAGUCCCUGCUUUUGUGGGGGGCUCGAGUGGCGAACGGGUGAGUAACACGUGAGUAACCUGCCCUUGACUUUGGGAUAACUUCAGGAAACGGGGGCUAAUAACGGAUAGGAGCUCCUGCUGCAUGGUGGGGGUUGGAAAGUUUCGGCGGUUGGGGAUGGACCCGCGGCUUAUCAGCUUGUUGGUGGGGUAGUGGCUUACCAAGGCUUUGACGGGUAGCCGGGCUGAGAGGGUGACCGGCCACAUUGGGACUGAGAUACGGCCCAGACUCCUACGGGAGGCAGCAGUGGGGAAUAUUGCACAAUGGGCGGAAGCCUGAUGCAGCAACGCCGCGUGCGGGAUGACGGCCUUCGGGUUGUAAACCGCUUUCGCCUGUGACGAAGCGUGAGUGACGGUAAUGGGUAAAGAAGCACCGGCUAACUACGUG
rnacentral:rRNA from 1 species